AGUGAACGCUGGCGGUAGGCCUAACACAUGCAAGUCGAACGGCAGCACAGUAAGAGCUUGCUCUUACGGGUGGCGAGUGGCGGAAGGGUGAGGAAUACAUCGGAAUCUACUUUUUCGUGGGGGAUAACGUAGGGAAACUUACGCUAAUACCGCAUACGACCUACGGGUGAAAGCAGGGGAUCUUCGGACCUUGCGCGAUUGAAUGAGCCGAUGUCGGAUUAGCUAGUUGGCGGGGUAAAGGCCCACCAAGGCGACGAUCCGUAGCUGGUCUGAGAGGAUGAUCAGCCACACUGGAACUGAGACACGGUCCAGACUCCUACGGUGAGCAGCAGUGGGGAAUAUUGGACAAUGGGCGCAAGCCUGAUCCAGCCAUACCGCGUGGGUGAAGAAGGCGUUCGGGUUGUAAAGCCCUUUUGUUGGGAAAGAAAAGCAGUUGUUUAAUACCCCGCUGUUCUGACGGUACCCAAAGAAUAAGCACCGGCUAACUUCGUG
rnacentral:rRNA from 1 species